rnacentral:misc_RNA from 1 species
GAUGAAGAACGUAGCGAAAUGCGAUAAGUAGUGUGAAUUGCAGACUUUAGUGAAUCAUCGAAUCUUUGAACGCACAUUGCGCCCCUCGGUAUUCCGUGGGGCAUGCCUGUUCGAGCGUCAUUUACCCCUCAAGCACUGCUUGGUGUUGGGCGUCUGUCCCGCUUCGCGCGCGGACUCGCCCCAAAGGUAUUGGCAGCGGUCGUGCCAGCUUCUCGCGCAGCACAUUGCGCUUCUCGAGGCGGUCGAUCGGCGUCCACGAAGCUCACCUCCACCGUUUGACCUCGGAUCAGGUAGGGAUACCCGCUGAACUUAAGCAUAUCAAUAAGCGGAGGA